UAGGUGAACCUGCGGAAGGAUCAUUGUCGAAACCUGCCCAGCAGAACGACCAGCGAACAUGUUUUCAUCGGCACACUAACGAACCCCGGCGCGGACUGCGCCAAGGAACAUGAACUCAAACUGUGCGCCUACCCAACGCCCGGUUAGCCGGUGCUUGGGUGUGGUGCCCUGUUUAACAAUAAACGACUCUCGGCAACGGAUAUCUCGGCUCUCGCAUCGAUGAAGAACGUAGCGAAAUGCGAUACUUGGUGUGAAUUGCAGAAUCCCGUGAACCAUCGAGUCUUUGAACGCAAGUUGCGCCCGAAGUUCUGCUGAGGGCACGUCUGCCUGGGCGUCACGCAUCGCGUCUCCCCCACACCCACCUCGUGUGGGAGGGGGAGGAGGAUGGCCUCCCGUGCCUCACCGGGCGCGGCUGGCCUAAAUACGGAGCCCACGGCGUCGAGCUGCCGCGGCAAUAGGUGGUUCGUCGCGCAGCACUUCGCCAGCGGAGCUCGCAGGACCCUUUCAACCUUUGCGACCCCAGGUCAGGCGGGGCUACCCGC
rnacentral:rRNA from 1 species